rnacentral:lncRNA from 1 species
CUAUUUGCAUGCACACCAACACACAUACUGUAUGAAGUGCUUGUUAAUUAUACAUAUGAGAAGUCAGUCUAGCCUUAGGUGAACCAUCACCUAGUUGAACCCCUCAGUUACUGUUACAUAUUCAUUUAUGACAUGAUACAUGUAGCAAUGUAAUAUAGCAUUAUCUAAAAACCACAUUUUACAUGUACUGGAUUUGAUUGUUGUUAAUCCUUGCUUCUAAAUUAGAGUUGGGUGUAGGCCUACUGCACAGGAACGUGGCAGCCGCCUAUAGGAUUAGUAGAAUUGAUAAGCUAUAUAGGUCGACUAUAACCUAAACGCAUAUUAUGCAGAAAUGGGAAUCUAUUGCAAUGAAUCGCAGAAUGAGUGAUCCGGUCGCACUCUCUCCCACUGUAGGCUAUAAUGACUGACGAAGGUAACGAGAGGACUUGUGAUGCUGCACCCACUGAGCAGAUGUUGCCACGAGAGACUAUAGUGCUGCAACAAGAGACAAGACACGUCUUGGAUCACAAAUAGGAUCCGUGCGCAUGCUCCGUCUGUUCCGUUUACUGUAUAUUCACUGUGGUAAAAGGGCAGGCAGGCAACAAACCAAGCUUUUUACAGCAAAGUGGCUUCUACAAUGUAAAUACGCUUCAGGGAAACCAAAAGGGAUAUCAACAGGUAUGCUUUUAAUUUAUAUCUUAGCAGUUAUUUCGAUUUUUAUUCGCUUAUUUUCUGUGGUUUUGGAUUCCCUUCAAUUCAUAGCGGGUUCUUGGAAAUUCUUCUGCCUAAUGGACGUGCGGAUUCGCUACACUGUAAUGUUCAAUCCAACAGUGAACGGUAUUUUUAGGUGUGAUGAGACAAAAGAACAAAGGAUGCCGUAGAAGAGAGGCUGCUUACAAGCCGGGAAUCUGCUUCAAAGCACAACAAAUGGAUCUAUCGCCUCCCCCUGCCGCCUCUAGAUAAUGAUACUUG